UCCACGCCCUCAACGAUGCGUGCUCGGUGUUGGAAGUUCAAUCAUUUCCAGUGCCUUAGCUUACGCGGUAAGCACGCCGCCUGGGAAGUACGGCCGCAAGGCUAAAACUCAAAGGAAUAGACGGGGACCCACACAAGCGGUGGAGCAUGGGGUUUAAUUCGAUAAUAAGCGAAGAACCUCACCCAGGCUUGACAUCUCGGGAAUCCCGCGGAAACGCGGGAGUGCCGUAAGGAACCCGAAGACAGGCGAUGCACGGUCGUCGUCAGCUCGUGCCUUGAGGUGUACUGUUAAGUCAGCGAACGAGCGCAACCCUCAUCCUUUGUUGCAUUUUCAAAGGAGACUGCCGCCUCCAAGGCGGAGGAAGGUGGGGAUGACGUCAGAUCAGCGUGUCCUUUAUGCCUGGGGCAACACCCAUGCUACAA
rnacentral:rRNA from 1 species